UCGUGAGACAGUUCGGUCCCUAUCUACCGUGGGCGCUGGAAAUUUGAGAGGAUCUGCUCCUAGUACGAGAGGACCAGAGUGGACGAACCUCUGGUGUACCGGUUGUGACGCCAGUCGCAUCGCCGGGUAGCUAUGUUCGGAAGGGAUAACCGCUGAAAGCAUCUAAGCGGGAAGCCUACCUCAAGAUAAGAUUUCCCUAGGACUUUAUGUCCUCUAAAGAGCCGUUCGAGACUAGGACGUUGAUAGGUUGGAUGUGGAAGCAUAGUGAUAUGUGAAGCUGACCAAUACUAAUUGCUCGUGAGGCUUGACUAUACAACACCCAAGCAGUUG
rnacentral:rRNA from 1 species